rnacentral:rRNA from 1 species
CCUACGUGAGGCUGCAGUGGGGAAUAUUGGACAAUGGGCGAAAGCCUGAUCCAGCCAUGCCGCGUGUGUGAAGAAGGCCUUCGGGUUGUAAAGCACUUUCAGUGGGGAAGAAAGCCUUGGGGCUAAUACCCUCGAGGAAGGACAUCACCCACAGAAGAAGCACCGGCUAACUCCGUGCCAGCAGCCGCGGUAAUACGGAGGGUGCGAGCGUUAAUCGGAAUUACUGGGCGUAAAGCGCGCGUAGGCGGUCUGAUAAGCCGGUUGUGAAAGCCCCGGGCUCAACCUGGGAACGGCAUCCGGAACUGGCAGGCUAGAGUGCAGGAGAGGAAGGUAGAAUUCCCGGUGUAGCGGUGAAAUGCGUAGAGAUCGGGAGGAAUACCAGUGGCGAAGGCGGCCUUCUGGACUGACACUGACGCUGAGGUGCGAAAGCGUGGGUAGCAAACAGGAUUAGAUACCCGAGUAGUC